UGCAAUCCAGAGAAACAGUCAAAGAGUGGUUGAACCACAGGGUUCCACCUUUUCUGAGGGAGAUGAAGGAAGUCAACUCUAUCACCAUAUGUCAAACACAUCUUCACCUGUAAUCAUGACAACCCCCAAAGUCUUCUUUAUAGUCACUGCCUCCCAAGAUAGAGUCCCCCAUCCUGUUUAUUCCUAUUCCACCUCUCUGCAGCAAACCAAGACGAGAGAGAACCCUGGAAAUAAUGGUAGUGGCGGAAAGAACCUGGCAUUCACAGGGAAAGACCUUUUUAGUCAUCUGAUCACACUCUCUAACUUUUAAGUUUUUUGAACAUAUUCUUAUAUGUGAACUGUGCAUCAGAGAUUUGGAACAAGAGGACACUCUGGACUUUCACUUGCUGUCUGAGGACAAUUCCACUCCAAUCCCCAUAAAAAUGUGAAUGAAUAUAUAUGAAAGAGUUGUGCACUGCUGAGCUUGUAUCAUAUCAGCUAUGCUUCAGUCUGACAAGUGUGUAGUCAGGCAGGCUGAGAAAAACCCAUAUAGAUCCCUCUAAUUUUGUCUUUAAAAUGACAAUCUUUCAGCAACUACAGAUGUUUUCCCCCAUAAUGCACUCUGCCAAUGAAAAUACCGAGUUUGGAACAGGAAGCUAUGUAUUGCAACUUUGAAAUCUUAUGUUUUCUUUGUUCCCAACUCUUGAUGCAAGCAAAUCAUCUUAUGAUGCAACUAUUUCUCUGGGGGCCAAAUGGAAGGGUAAUCUGGUCUCUAAUAUGAAGCUAUUUAUUUUUAGCAUGACGGAGCACAAUGGGUAUGUAAUGAGUCAUAAUCAGGUACAUGUACA